UACGAAGGGUGCAAGCGUUAAUCGGAAUUACUGGGCGUAAAGGGUGCGUAGGCGGUUAGUUAAGUCUGUUGUGAAAUCCCCGGGCUCAACCUGGGAAUGGCAAUGGAUACUGGCUGGCUAGAGUGUGUCAGAGGAUGGUGGAAUUCCGGGUGUAGUGGUGAAAUGCGUAGAGAUCCGGAGGAACACCAGUGGCGAAGGCGACUUACUGGACACAUAUUGACGCUGAGGCGCGAAAGCCAGGGGAGCAAACGGG
rnacentral:rRNA from 1 species